GAUGAAGAACGUAGUGAAAUGCGAUACGUAGUGUGAAUUGCAGAAUUCAGUGAAUCAUCGAAUCUUUGAACGCACAUUGCACCUCUCGGUAUUCCGGGAGGUAUGCCUGAUCGAGCGUCAUUUGUACCCUCAAGCUCUGCUUGGUGUUGGGUGUUUGUUCCGCCUCUGUGUGUGAACUCGCCUCAAAACAAUUGGCAGCCGGCGUACUUGUUUCGGAGCGCAGCACAUUUUGCGAUCCAGAUCAACGUACAGCGGCAUCCAAGAAGCCUUAUUUAACGCUCUUGACCUCGGAUCAGGUAGGGAUACCCGCUGAACUUAAGCAUAUCAAUUAAGCGGAGGA
rnacentral:misc_RNA from 1 species